AGAUGCUGCCAGGGUCCCUGAAGAGGGAAGACACGCGGAAACAGAGCCCUAGAUCGUGACCUGGAAAGCUUCAUCCUGUUCCACAAUCCUGAGUAUAACAAGAACACCUCGAAGUUUGAUGGGACAAGACUCUAUGAAAGCACAAAGGAUGGGAAGGUUCCUUCUGAGCAGAAAAGGGUGCAAUUCCUGGGAGACAAGAAUAAGAACUGCACACUGAGUAUCCACCCGGUGCACGUCAAUGACAGUGGUCAGCUGGGGCUGAGGAUGGAGUCCAAGACUGCGAAAUGGAUGGAACGAAUACACCUCAAUGUCUCUGUGGCUCCUAGAGGGGGUUCCAAUGAGGCAGGCUGCUGUCACCUCGACCUCCUUGACCAUCAAGUCUGUCUUCACCCGGAGCGAGCUCAAGUUCUCCCCACAGUGGAGUCACCAUGGGAAGAUUGUGACCUGCCAGCUUCAGGAUGCAGAUGGGAAGUUCCUCUCCAAUGACACGGUGCAGCUGAACGUGAAGCACACCCCGAAGUUGGAGAUCAAGGUCACUCCCAGUGAUGCCAUAGUGAGGGAG
rnacentral:sRNA from 1 species